GUGCUCGCUUUGGCAGCACAUAUGCUAAAAUUGGAAAAAUACAGAGAUUAGUAUAGCCCCUGCCCAAGGAUGACAUGCAAAUUCCUGCAGUGUUCCAUAUUUUU
ensembl:snRNA U6 U6 spliceosomal RNA